AUUGAACGCUGGCGGCAGGCCUAACACAUGCAAGUCGAGCGAGCGGCGGACGGGGGAGUAAUGCCUGGGAAUUGCCCAGUCGGGGGGGAUAACAGUUGGAAACGACUGCUAAUACCGCAUACGAUUGGCUUGCCCAGGUGGGAUUAGCUAGGUGGUAAGGUAAUGGCUCACCAAGGCGACGAUCCCUAGCUGGUCUGAGAGGAUGGUGAGCAACACUGGAACUAGUACACGUGCCAGAAUCCUACGGGAGUGAGCAGGGGGGAAUAUUUCACAAUGGGGGAAACCCUAAUGCAGCCAUGCCGCGGGUGGGAAGAGGGCCUUCGGGUUGGAAAGCACUUUCAGCGAGGAGGCGUUACUCGCAGAAUAAGCACCGGCUAACUCCGUGCCAGCAGCCGCGGUAAUAC
rnacentral:rRNA from 1 species